rnacentral:rRNA from 1 species
CGAGCGGACCGACGGGAGCUUGCUCCCUUAGGUCAGCGGCGGACGGGUGAGUAACACGUGGGUAACCUGCCUGUAAGACUGGGAUAACUCCGGGAAACCGGGGCUAAUACCGGAUGCUUGAUUGAACCGCAUGGUUCCAAUCAUAAAAGGUGGCUUUUAGCUACCACUUACAGAUGGACCCGCGGCGCAUUAGCUAGUUGGUGAGGUAACGGCUCACCAAGGCGACGAUGCGUAGCCGACCUGAGAGGGUGAUCGGCCACACUGGGACUGAGACACGGCCCAGACUCCUACGGGAGGCAGCAGUAGGGAAUCUUCCGCAAUGGACGAAAGUCUGACGGAGCAACGCCGCGUGAGUGAUGAAGGUUUUCGGAUCGUAAAACUCUGUUGUUAGGGAAGAACAAGUACCGUUCGAAUAGGGCGGCACCUUGACGGUACCUAACCAGAAAGCCACGGCUAACUACGUGCCAGCAGCCGCGGUAAUACGUAGGUGGCAAGCGUUGUCCGGAAUUAUUGGGCGUAAAGCGCGCGCAGGCGGUUUCUUAAGUCUGAUGUGAAAGCCCCCGGCUCAACCGGGGAGGGUCAUUGGAAACUGGGGAACUUGAGUGCAGAAGAGGAGAGUGGAAUUCCACGUGUAGCGGUGAAAUGCGUAGAGAUGUGGAGGAACACCAGUGGCGAAGGCGACUCUCUGGUCUGUAACUGACGCUGAGGCGCGAAAGCGUGGGGAGCGAA